rnacentral:rRNA from 1 species
AGAUUGAACGCUGGCGGCAGGCCUAACACAUGCAAGUCGAGCGGCAGCACGGGUACUUGUACCUGGUGGCGAGCGGCGGACGGGUGAGUAAUGCCUAGGAAUCUGCCUGAUAGUGGGGGAUAACGCUCGGAAACGGACGCUAAUACCGCAUACGUCCUACGGGAGAAAGCAGGGGACCUUCGGGCCUUGCGCUAUCAGAUGAGCCUAGGUCGGAUUAGCUAGUUGGUGGGUAAUGGCGUCACCAAGGCGACGAUCCGUAACUGGUCUGAGAGGAUGAUCAGUCACACUGAACUGAGACACGUCAGACUCCUACGGGAGGCAGCGAGUGGGAAUAUUGGACAAUGGGGACGAAAGCCUAGA